AUGUCGAAGAAGGAUUGGCCCGUGCUGCCGGCUGGCGUCAAGUUCGAUCCCAUGGAUCAGGAGCUGAUCGAGCACCUUGAGGCCAAAGUGAGUGCUGACAGCGCGAGAUUUCAGUCUCUCAUCGAUUUGUUCAUACCAACCAUCGACAGCGAGCACGGCAUAUGUUACACCCAACCUGAGAAACUUCCAGGUAUCACACUGAGUGGCCUAAGGAAGCAUUUCUUCCAGCGCAAUUCCAGGGCAUUCAAAAGGGGCGCGUGGACGUGUCGCAAGAUACAGUCAGAGUGCGGCAUGCACGCGAUGUGGCACAAGACCGGCAAUACCUUGCCGGUGAUGGUCAACGGCCGGCAGAUGGGCAGCAAAAAAGGUUCUGGUGCUGCACACCAACAAGAACUUCGACCAGCGGAGGACCAACUAGAUGAUGCACCAGUACCACCUCGGGGACCUGGAGCAAGAGAAGGAGCGGGAGCUGGUCCUCUGCAAGAUUUUCUACCAGACGAACACUAG
rnacentral:rRNA from 1 species